CAUAUACUUGAUAUUUUUUUCUUAAGAAAGAGAGAAUGUUAACGCACAAAUCUGGGAAGCGUUACUUAGUUUCUCCGGCAGAUGAAUUCAUCAAUAUUUUAUCAGAAAGAAAAGCCAUGUUUCAUUCUUUUAUGCUGCUGAGGAAUUGAGGUUCGAAAUCGUGUCGGAGGAGGAUGUUGCGGAGAGAACAGUUACCAUGAACAUACUUGGGACCCUAAUUUCAGAAGGCUACAAAACGGUCAAAGUAAGAAUCACCGUCGCUCCAUGGGAGGAAGAGAUUACAAAAAGCUGCUUGGAGUACACCUUCGAGUUCGACAAGAUUAAAAAUCACAUCAGAAAAACUGAGAUCGUCGAAUCCCUACUCACGUACAUCGAUAUAAGCGAUACCAAUAAUAACAGAAGUGAUGAUAAUUUAAGUACAACUCCUUUGACGCUGCGUAUCCGGCGGAAGAAUACUUCAAGCGUAAAGUCAAAGCAUUUGAAGAAGAUGAUGACGUGACGGUGGGGGAUGUGAAUAGGAUAAAUAAGAGAUUUACGGUGAGUUUCAUCAGCGCUCCUUUCUUGUCGGAUUCUUACGAAGACGGAAGUAUUUUCCAGAGUAUGGAAGUAACCAUCACUAUUACUCCUAAGAAA